rnacentral:rRNA from 1 species
GUGGGGAAUCUUGCGCAAUGGGCGAAAGCCUGACGCAGCCAUGCCGCGUGAAUGAUGAAGGUCUUAGGAUUGUAAAAUUCUUUCACCGGGGACGAUAAUGACGGUACCCGGAGAAGAAGCUCCGGCUAACUUCGUGCCAGCAGCCGCGGUAAUACGAAGGGGGCUAGCGUUGCUCGGAAUUACUGGGCGUAAAGGGCGCGUAGGCGGACAGCUUAGUCAGAGGUGAAAGCCCAGGGCUCAACCUUGGAAUUGCCUUUGAUACUGGCUGUCUUGGGGUUGGGAGAGGUGAGUGGAACUCCGAGUGUAGAGGUGAAAUUCGUAGAUAUUCGGAAGAACACCAGUGGCGAAGGCGACUCACUGGCCCAAUACUGACGCUGAGGCGCGAAAGCGUGGGGAGCAAACAGGAUUAGAAACCCUAGUAGUCC